UACGUAGGGCGCGAGCGUUGUCCGGAAUUACUGGGCGUAAAGAGCUCGUAGGCGGCUUGUCACGUCGGGUGUGAAAGACCGGGGCUUAACUCCGGUUCUGCAUUCGAUACGGGCUAGCUAGAGUGUGGUAGGGGAGAUCGGAAUUCCUGGUGUAGCGGUGAAAUGCGCAGAUAUCAGGAGGAACACCGGUGGCGAAGGCAGAUCUCUGGGCCAUUACUGACGCUGAGGAGCGAAAGCGUGGGGAGCGAACAGG
rnacentral:rRNA from 1 species